rnacentral:rRNA from 1 species
UACAGAGGGUGCGAGCGUUGUCCGGAAUCACUGGGCGUAAAGGGCGCGUAGGCGGCUCGGUAAGCGUGCGGUGAAAGCCCGGGGCUCAACCCCGGGUCGGCCGUGCGAACUGCAGAGCUGGAGCACUGUAGAGGCAGGUGGAAUUCCGGGUGUAGCGGUGAAAUGCGUAGAGAUCUGGAGGAACACCGAUGGCGAAGGCAGCCUUCUGGGCCAACACUGACGCUCAUGCACGAAAGCGUGGGGAGCAAACAGG